rnacentral:rRNA from 1 species
UACGGAGGGUGCAAGCGUUAUCCGGAUUCACUGGGUUUAAAGGGAGCGCAGGCGGAUAUGUAAGUCAGUGGUGAAAUCUCUAGGCUUAACCUGGAAAUUGCCGUUGAUACUAUAUAUCUUGAAUGCUGUGGAGGUAAGCGGAAUAUGUCAUGUAGCGGUGAAAUGCUUAGAUAUGACAUAGAACACCAAUUGCGAAGGCAGCUCACUACUCAAUCAUUGACUCUGAGGCACGAAAGCGUGGGGAUCAAACAGG